AGGUUCUGUGAUACACUCCGACUUAGACUCUGGAGCAGUCAGUGCAUGACAGAACUUGG
rnacentral:pre_miRNA from 1 species